GGGCGCGUACUGGUUUCGAUUUUAGGAAUCGGAAUUAAAAUGCAGGUAGAGGUUUAGGUGGGUCUCUUUAAAAAGCCUUAAAAGUAUUAACUGCUAAAACAGCUAAAUACAAAGGUCAUAUCUCUGCUAGAGUUUCUCUAGUCGAGGAGACCGCUUCUGUAGCUUAAGUUCUACAGCGUGAUUACCAUGACACAUCUACUGGAUAAUUGCGUAAUUAGAUGUAUUUUUAUAAAAUCCUUUUCAUUUAAUUUUUUAUAAAAAUUAUUAAGGGUAAAUUUGACCAAGGUUGAAUUUAUUAUUAAAUGAAUAGCUAAAAACCAAUUGUUUAUUCGACUCUUUAGCGAAUCAACGGAAUAAACUAAACUUGUAGUAUUUUAAUUUAAAUUCACUAAAACACGAAGGUUCAACUCCUUCCGCGUCCAA
rnacentral:tmRNA from 1 species